GCCAUCUGAUGUCAUGGCGGGUGGUGCCGCGGGGCGUGGUUUGCGUGGGCGCGGUGGUCGGUGUGGUUCCGAGGGUCUUGCUGCGCCGAGCGAGCCUCGCCUGAGGGGCCCGCUGCGGCGCGGAGUGCCGCGUGUGCACACAGGACGGUGGUUACCGCGGCGGGGGCUUCCCGCCGUGCUGAGCCGUGGUCACGCUGACCAGGAGGAGUGGCGGGUGUCAGCCCUGGCGUGACCCGCGGCCCGGCCUGCAGCGGUGACCCGGCGCCGCUGUCCAGUGCCAAGCGCAGGCCGCGCGCGCGGCGGGCGUGCCGUUGGGGUAGUUGCCGAAGUGCCCUCUCCUGCAUUGUCUGCCUGCCUUCCGCCCCGAGGAAGGAACUGGGGAGGGUCCCGGGCCCCCUCAGUGCCGCACCCCAGGAGGAGCCCUGGAAGCAGGGAUACCGGGCUUCCAGAAAUGGUUCCUGGUAUCCCCAUGUCCCCCACUGCCUCCCGGGUGGGCGCCGUUUUGAGGUUGGAGGACACGUACCCAUUCAGAUAGGUACUCGGUGCCUGCCAGUGCUCUGAGGAUAGAAUGGCCAGCUAGUCUCUUGGCAGCAUGGCCCAGGGAAGGGGGAGGCACAAGAAAUAAAUGGACACGGUGGUUUCAGAUGUUUAAAACGGUGUGUGGAAGGGCACCCUGGGGUAGGAUAGCACCUUGGGCCAAAUGACCAGAGCAAGCCAGACUCUGAAGGCUAAAUGUAAUCAGAAGGGUUCUCCUGCAGGUCUGUGGCCACUUAGAACUGCCCGAUGGGAAGGUAGAAUGGCAGUGUUCUGGGGGCCAGCCCUGGGAGGUGUAGGUAGCAGGUGUGUUCUGCAGCAUUCAAGCACUCAACCACAACAUGGGUGCCUCCUCCGGGGGCAUUUGCACCUUGAACCUCAGCUCUGGCCAUGUUCCUGCAAGAGUGACCAUGCAGCUGGAAGAAUGCAGGACACAGGCCAGGCUGGGGCUGUACCAGGUUGGGACCAUGUGACUCAGGACCAGUCACUUACCCUCUAAGUCCUCUGCAUUUUUGUAAACCGAGGAUAGCCCAGGGGUACAUCAUAGGAAUACACAAAUUAGUGAAUGAACAACUGUUAGCAUAGGACCAGAAAAUGUAUUUCUUUUUUUUUAAUUUUUUAAUAUUUAUUUUUCAGUUUUCGGUGGACACAACAUCUUUAUUUUAUUUUUAUAUGGUGCUGAGGAUCGAACCCAGCGCCCCACACAUGCCAGAGGUGGCUCAGGGUGGAGCUCCCCUGAAUUCAGUCCCCAGGGCCACACAAGAAGAAGUGCCUUCCGUGCUGACCCUGUUUUGCUGCUGCUGGAGAGGGAACCCAGAGCUUCACACUUGCAAGGCAAGUGCCCCACCACUGAGAUACCCUGCCCUUUUUGAGACAUGGUCUUGCUGAAUUGUCCAGUUGUGAUGCUCC